rnacentral:rRNA from 1 species
UACAGAGGUCCCAAGCGUUGUUCGGAUUCAUUGGGCGUAAAGGGUGCGUAGGCGGCUUGUUGCGUCAGCUGUGAAAACCCGCAGCUCAACUGUGGGCUUGCAGCUGAUACGGGCAGGCUUGAGUUCGGUAGGGGAGACUGGAAUUCCUGGUGUAGCGGUGAAAUGCGCAGAGUAUCAGGAGGAACACCGGUGGCGAAGGCGGGUCUCUGGGCCGAUACUGUCGCUGAGGAGCGAAAGCGUGGGGAGCGAACAGG